GACGAACGCUGGCGGCGUGCCUAAUACAUGCAAGUAGAACGCUGAAGGAGGAGCUUGCUUCUCUGGAUGAGUUGCGAACGGGUGAGUAACGCGUAGGUAACCUGCCUGGUAGCGGGGGAUAACUAUUGGAAACGAUAGCUAAUACCGCAUAAUAGCAGUUGUUGCAUGACAACUGUUUGAAGGGUGCAAUUGCACCACUACCAGAUGGACCUGCGUUGUAUUAGCUAGUUGGUGGGGUAACGGCUCACCAAGGCGACGAUACAUAGCCGACCUGAGAGGGGGAUCGGCCACACUGGGACUGAGACACGGCCCAGACUCCUACGGGAGGCAGCAGUAGGGAAUCUUCGGCAAUGGACGGAAGUCUGACCGAGCAACGCCGCGUGAGUGAAGAAGGGUUUCGGAUCGUAAAGCUCUGUUGUAAGAGAAGAACGAGUGUGAGAGUGGAAAGUUCACACUGUGACGGUAUCUUACCAGAAAGGGACGGCUAACUACGUG
rnacentral:rRNA from 1 species